rnacentral:rRNA from 1 species
UACAGAGGGUGCGAGCGUUAAUCGGAAUUACUGGGCGGAAAGCGUGCGUAGACGGCUAUCUAAGUCGGGUGUGAAAGCCCCGGGCUCAACCUGGGAAUUGCAUUCGAGACUGAAUAGCUAGGGUACGGUAGAGGGAAGCGGAAUUUCCGGUGUAGCGGUGAAAUGCGUAGAUAUCGGAAGGAACAUCAGUGGCGAAAGCGGCUUCCUGGACCAGUACCGACGUUCAGGCACGAAAGCGUGGGGAGCAAACAGG